rnacentral:tmRNA from 1 species
GGGGCUGUUUGGUUUUGAUUGUAUAAGGAAGUAAAAAUAACAUGCAAAGACUGAUGGAAAGACAUCAACUCAAAUUAAAUGCUAAGGUUAUUCCUAUGAACAGCUUUGCUGUUCGCAUUGCAGCUUAAUGACUGCCGAGCUGGUAACUUGCUUAGGAACAGAAAAGUUACAAAUUUAUAAUUAAGUUAUCCCUUCUUUAAAAAGGAAAUUUUCAUAUUGCUAAAUAUAAAGAUGAUGUAACAUCUAUAAAAAACUAAGCAUGUAAAAUUAUUUGAGGUAUUUAUACAAGACGAGAGUUCGAAUCUCUCCAGCUCCACUU